GACAUAGGUCGCAAACGUUAUCCGGAAUUAUUGGGCGUAAAGGAUGCGUAGAUGGUUCAGUAAGUUACUGGUGGGAAAUCGAGGCCCAACCUCGUGGAAGUCAGUAAUACUGUUGAACUUGAGUGCAGGAGAGGUUAACGGAACUUUAUGUGGAGCGGUAAAAUGCAUAGAUAUAUAAAAAGAACAUCAAUAUGGCGAAGGCAGUUAACUAUUCUGCUACUGACGUUUGAGGCAUGAAAGCGUGGGGAGCAAAACGGG
rnacentral:rRNA from 1 species